AGCGAAGCGCUUGAAUCUGAUUCUUCGGAAGAGGAUUCUUGUGACUGAGCGGCGGACGGGUGAGUAACGCGUGGGCAACCUGCCUUACACAGGGGGAUAACAGUUAGAAAUGACUGCUAAUACCGCAUAAGACCGCAGUACCGCAUGGUACAGCGGUAAAAACUCCGGUGGUGUAAGAUGGGCCCGCGUCUGAUUAGGUAGUUGGCGGGGUAACGGCCCACCAAGCCGACGAUCAGUAGCCGACCUGAGAGGGUGACCGGCCACAUUGGGACUGAGACACGGCCCAGACUCCUACGGGAGGCAGCAGUGGGGAAUAUUGCACAAUGGGGGAAACCCUGAUGCAGCGACGCCGCGUGAGCGAUGAAGUAUUUCGGUAUGUAAAGCUCUAUCAGCAGGGAAGAAAAUGACGGUACCUGACUAAGAAGCCCCGGCUAACUACGUGCCAGCAGCCGCGGUAAUACGUAGGGGGCAAGCGUUAUCCGGAUUUACUGGGUGUAAAGGGAGCGUAGACGGCUGUGCAAGCCAGAUGUGAAAGCCCGGGGCUCAACCCCGGGACUGCAUUUGGAACUGUGUGGCUGGAGUGUCGGAGAGGCAGGCGGAAUUCCUAGUGUAGCGGUGAA
rnacentral:rRNA from 1 species